UUCCAGACUCCUACGGGAGGCAGCAGUGGGGAAUAUUGCACAAUGGGGGAAACCCUGAUGCAGCGACGCCGCGUGAGUGAAGAAGUAUUUCGGUAUGUAAAGCUCUAUCAGCAGGGAAGAUAAUGACGGUACCUGACUAAGAAGCCCCGGCUAACUACGUGCCAGCAGCCGCGGUAAUACGUAGGGGGCAAGCGUUAUCCGGAUUUACUGGGUGUAAAGGGUGCGUAGGUGGCAGGGCAAGUCAGAUGUGAAAGCCCGGGGCUCAACCCCGGUACUGCAUUUGAAACUGUCCAGCUGGAGUGCAGGAGAGGUAAGCGGAAUUCCUAGUGUAGCGGUGAAAUGCGUAGAUAUUAGGAGGAACACCAGUGGCGAAGGCGGCUUACUGGACUGUAACUGACACUGAGGCACGAAAGCGUGGGGAGCAAACAGGAUUAGAUACCCGCGUAA
rnacentral:rRNA from 1 species